rnacentral:lncRNA from 1 species
UCCCACCAUGCCCUGCCUACUGAAGGAAAUAUAUUAGUCUUACAAGAAGUUGAGAAAAUAAAUUAAAUGCCAUACCCUCCGGAAGAAUUCAAUUGUUGCAAUUUUCUUUCACGUGGAGGCCCUUCAAACGUAGAGCACAUGUCCAUACACUGUUUAUGAAAUCAUAAUAAAAAUCAUAAUAACAGGGAACCAGGUAUUAAUAACAAAUCUUAAGACUUAAAAUUCAACUGUGAUUGAAGAGGAUUAAAAAACAUAUGAACUUGUUAUCUUGGAAGAAGGCAAUCUAAGAUAUAGAAAACUUGGCACAUUCAUAUAUGAACAGAAGGAAUUUGUAGAUUUUUUGAAGCCAUAAUCGUUUAAUAAUCAUGAACCAAACAAUAAUAUAAGAUUAUUAUUUCUUUUCUUCUAAUCUAUACAUAAUUGCACAUCAGAAUAAAGUGAUAUACAAUGGUUGUCUGCAGACACAAACGCGUGAUCAACAGGAAAAAUCAUCUGAACAUUUGUAUUACUAAUUUGGCAUAUAAAAGAUUCUCAUAAUAGUUCAAAAUAAAAGUAAAUGAACAUUUACAUGAAGACACUUUCAAUCACCCACUCCUCAUUUCUCAAAGAUUCAUUGUUUAAAGAUGAGGCAAAN